AAAAAAAAAAAAAAAAAGAAAAGUGGUAUAAAAUUUCAAAACCGACUGCACCUAACACUAGUUCUCUCCCAUUAUUUUGCUCAACUGCUAAAUGGGACAGAAUGGACAUAAAGUGAUGCAUGUUCUUGAAAAGUAUUGAUGAUUUUUGGAUGCAAGGAGUUAGAUGUUGUUUUCAAGACUUCAAUAUUAUUGGUCCCAUCAUAGAAAUUGUGAAUUUUGGCUUUGGACCUAAAUAAAGUGAUUGCUUAAUGAUCACGUAGCUAAAUUAUCU
rnacentral:misc_RNA from 1 species